rnacentral:rRNA from 1 species
AUUGAACGCUGGCGGCAGGCCUAACACAUGCAAGUCGAACGAGUGGCGGACGGGUGAGUAAGGUCGGGGAAACUGCCCGAUGGAGGGGGAUAACUACUGGAAAGGGUAGCUAAUACCGCAUACCAUCGGAGGUGCCGAGAUGGGAUUAGCUAGUUGGUGGGGUAACGGCUCACCUAGGCGACGAGCCCUAGCUGGUCUGAGAGGAUGACCAGCCACACUGGCACUGAGACACGGUCCAGACGCCUACGUGAGGCAGCAGUGGGGAAUAUUGCACAAUUGGCGCAAGCCUGAUGCAGCCAUGCCGCGUGUAUGAAGAAGGCCUUCGGGUUGUAAAGUUCUUUCAGCGAGGAGGCGUUACUCGCAGAAGAAGCCCCGGCUAACUCCGUGCCAGCAGCCGCGGUAAUAC